GACGGAGGGUGCUAGCGUUGUUCGGAAUCACUGGGCGUAAAGGGCGCGUAGGCGGCCUUGCAAGUCGGUUGGUGAAAGCCCGGGGCUCAACCCCGGAGGUGCGGCCGAGACUGCAGGGCUGGAGGCCGGAAGAGGAGGGUGGAAUACCCAGUGUAGAGGUGAAAUUCGUAGAUAUUGGGUGGAACACCGGUGGCGAAAGCGGCUCUCUGGUCCGGUUCUGACGCUGAGGCGCGAAAGCGUGGGGAGCAAACAGG
rnacentral:rRNA from 1 species